AUGAACGCUGGCGGCGUGCCUAAUACAUGCAAGUCGAGCGAACAGACGAGGAGCUUGCUCCUCUGACGUUAGCGGCGGACGGGUGAGUAACACGUGGAUAACCUACCUAUAAGACUGGGAUAACUUCGGGAAACCGGAGCUAAUACCGGAUAAUAUAUUGAACCGCAUGGUUCAAUAGUGACAGACGGUUUUGCUGUCACUUAUAGAUGGAUCCGCGCCGCAUUAGCUAGUUGGUAAGGUAACGGCUUACCAAGGCAACGAUGCGUAGCCGACCUGAGAGGGUGAUCGGCCACACUGGAACUGAGACACGGUCCAGACUCCUACGGGAGGCAGCAGUAGGGAAUCUUCCGCAAUGGGCGAAAGCCUGACGGAGCAACGCCGCGUGAGUGAUGAAGGUCUUCGGAUCGUAAAACUCUGUUAUUAGGGAAGAACAAAUGUGUAAGUAACUAUGCACGUCUUGACGGUACCUAAUCAGAAAGCCACGGCUAACUACGUG
rnacentral:rRNA from 1 species